UACGUAGGGACCGAGCGUUGUCCGGAUUCAUUGGGCGUAAAGGGCUCGUAGGCGGCUGCUCAAGUCGAAUGUGAAAACUCGAGGCUCAACCUCGAGCCUGCAUUCGAUACUGGGCGGCUAGAGUCUGGCAGGGGGAUCUGGAAUUCCUGGUGUAGCGGUGGAAUGCGCAGAUAUCAGGAGGAACACCGGUGGCGAAGGCGGGUCUCUGGGCCGAUACUGACGCUGAGGAGCGAAAGCGUGGGGAGCGAACAGG
rnacentral:rRNA from 1 species